rnacentral:rRNA from 1 species
UACGUAGGGAGCAAGCGUUGUCCGGAAUCAUUGGGCGUAAAGCGCGCGUAGGUGGCUUCGUAAGUCCGUUGUGAAAGUCAAAGGCUCAACCUUUGAAUGCCGAUGGAUACUGCGGAGCUAGAGUACGGAAGAGGCGAGUGGAAUUCCUGGUGUAGCGGUGGAAUGCGCAGAUAUCAGGAGGAACACCAAUAGCAAAGGCAGCUCGCUGGGACGUUACUGACACUAAGGCGCGAAAGCGUGGGGAGCGAACAGG